CCAGACUCCUACGGGAGGCAGCAGUGGGGAAUAUUGCACAAUGGGCGAAGGCCUGAUGCAGCGACGCCGCGUGAAGGAUGAAGUAUUUCGGUAUGUAAACUUCUAUCAGCAGGGAGGAAAAUGACGGUACCUGACUAAGAAGCCCCGGCUAACUACGUGCCAGCAGCCGCGGUAAUACGUAGGGGGCAAGCGUUAUCCGGAUUUACUGGGUGUAAAGGGAGCGUAGACGGCGAUGCAAGCCAGAUGUGAAAGCCCGGGGCUCAACCCCGGGACUGCAUUUGGAACUGUGUGGCUGGAGUGUCGGAGAGGCAAGUGGAAUUCCUAGUGUAGCGGUGAAAUGCGUAGAUAUUAGGAGGAACACCAGUGGCGAAGGCGGCUUGCUGGACGAUGACUGACGUUGAGGCUCGAAAGCGUGGGGAGCAAACAGGAUUAGAUACCCCAGUA
rnacentral:rRNA from 1 species